rnacentral:rRNA from 1 species
GAUGAACGCUGGCUACAGGCUUAACACAUGCAAGUCGUGGGGAAACGGCAUUAUGUGCUUGCACAUUCUGGACGUCGACCGGCGCACGGGUGAGUAUCGCGUAUCCAACCUGCCCCUUACUUGGGGAUACCCCGUUGAAAGACGGCCUAAUACCCGAUGUGUUUCAUUGACGGCAUCCGAUAUGAAACAAAGGUUUUCCGGUAAGGGAUGGGGAUGCGUCUGAUUAGCUAGUUGGCGGGGCAACGGCCCACCAAGGCUACGAUCAGUAGGGGUUCUGAGAGGAAGGUCCCCCACAUUGGAACUGAGACACGGUCCAAACUCCUACGGGAGGCAGCAGUGAGGAAUAUUGGUCAAUGGACGCAAGUCUGAACCAGCCAAGUAGCGUGCAGGAUGACGGCCCUAUGGGUUGUAAACUGCUUUUAUGUGGGAAUAAAUUGGCGCACGUGUGCGCCAUUGCAUGUACCUCAUGAAUAAGGACCGGCUAAUUCCGUGCCAGCAGCCGCGGUAAUACGGAAGGUCCGGGCGUUAUCCGGAUUUAUUGGGUUUAAAGGGAGUGUAGGCGGUCUGUUAAGCGUGUUGUGAAAUUUAGGUGCUCAACAUUUAACUUGCAGCGCGAACUGUCAGACUUGAGUACACGCAGCGCAGGCGGAAUUCAUGGUGUAGCGGUGAAAUGCUUAGAUAUCAUGAGGAACUCCGAUCGCGAAGGCAGCCUGCGGGAGUGUUACUGACGCUUAAGCUCGAAGGUGCGGGUAUCGAACAGG